CACUCAAAAAACCUAGAAACUAACUCCUCACGUUCCCUCUCAUCUCCCGAUCUCCCGUUCCUCUGAUCAAAGUUUCUUCACUCUGAUUCCGUAUGGCAGUUCCUCACCGUCAUCUCCGCCAUCUCCGCCAUCAAAUUUUCUCAUCAAGACAAACAACUAUUCUCUCAUUCUAUCAUCUUCCGAUCUCCGCGUGCCUCUCAUCAAAGUUUCUUCACUCUGAUUUCAUAUCGCAGUUCCUCACUGUCAUCUCCGCCAUCAAAAUUUCUCAUCAAGACGAAGCAACUAUUCUCUCUGAUUUCUUCCUCUCAGUGUUCGCUCAAGAAAAACUCGCGCUUCCAGCAGCAUAGAGCACCCAUCUCCUCUCCAUUCUCCGUUCUCGGUGUCGGUUAUGAGCUGUAAGGUUUCAGGUAGACUAAUGAGCUGAUGGAUCUAACUUCUUUCUUCUUCACACAUUUCCCUUCCAACUAUGGACAAUAUGAAAUGUGGAGAAUCUUUCAGAGAUGGGGAAAGGUACAAGACAUAUUUAUAUCCAGGAGACUUAAUCAAAGAGGCCAGAGGUUUGGGUUUGUAAGGUACCGUGGAAUAUCUAACCCACAAGCUCUUGAAAAACAACUGGAUAAUAUUCGGAUAGGCAACAUGAAGAUCCACGUUAAUAAGCCAAAAUAUCGCAGAUACGUUGAUGCAUCUAGAAAAGAAGGUGGACAAAGGAGUGAAAAUGAUGGUUUCAAGAACAAUAUAUCCCCAACCUAUAAGAAAGUCUGGAAGAGGAAAAAUACACAAACAUAUGCCCAAAUAGUGAAGGGAGAAGCGAUGAAUUAUAAUAACACAAGCAUACUGGCUGCUAUGGAGAUACAAGUGAAAGAAGAGGAGAAGGAAUGGCUCCAUCACAGCUAUAUUGGAAGGGUGAAGAACAUGAGUAAUAUUGAGCUUAUCCGAGAAAGCUUCAUCCUAAAUGGUCUAGACUUCAUACGUUUGAGGUAUAUGGGUGACGAUACAAUGCUCCUUAUUGCUGAAGGGAACACUAAUAUAGCGAAGGCUAUUGAGGAAAAUAAAGAGUGGUUGUCAACAAUCUUUGAAACAAUUUCUACAUGGACUAGAAACACGGUCAUGGGGCAUAGACGACAUGGGUUAGAUGUAGGGGGAUUCCUUUAUCCUUGUGGGGGAAGGAGUGCUUUGAGAAGAUCGUUGGAACGAUUGGCACAUUAAUAUCGAUUGAUAGCGCAACCGAAAAUUGGGAUGAACUCGAGUACACGAGAUUAUGCGUACGCAUGCCCAUCGGAGCAGAGCCAAAACUAAGAAAGAAGAUGAAUCUUAAUGGUAUAUUGUGUUCGAUAUCCAUUGAAGAAGAGUCGUCCUUUAUGGUGUUACCUAGAUGUUGUUGCGAAAGUUGGGAUAAGAAGACAAGAGAGGAUUCCUCCUCGAACUCCUUAGUAGGAAAUGGCUUUCAACACCCAUUUGAUUCAGAAUGUGCAAGCAUCAACGAUAUCGAGGUCUUGGAUGGAAAAUAUGAGUUUCAAACGGUGGGCUCACCGGAAGCCAUACCUACUGCACCAAACCUCGAGGGACAGGCACGUGGCUCAAAAACUUUCAAUCAAUCAGCGUGUCACAUAUGCACUCUAGAAGAAGUAUGUUUUCAGCAGAAAAAAGUGAUAAUAGUAAGGACACACAGAGAUACACUACAAUGGAAAGUUGGCUAGCAGGAAAUGCAAAGCAUCAAACGGUGGGGGAAAAUGGACUGAACAAUGAUCAACGCAGAUCAAGGACCAAAUCUGUUGUAAGUGACUCACAACAGCUAUAUCAAAAUUGGGCUUAGGAGUCGACUCAACUUAAGCCCAUAUAUCAGCAGAAUAACCAAAUGGACCUGACCAUUAAAGCCCAUUUAGAUUUUAACCCCUAUAUGUAAGUUUUCAUGAGCCCGAAUAUCUUGAGAGACAACUCUCCGUGUGGUGUGAGAGAGAUGAAUCUAAACCAUGAGAAUGAAAAAAUCAUAGAAGAGUAUUCGUCUUUGCAAAAAGGGCAAACAAAACCAGAGUUAACAGGGGUAGAACACGACGAUACUGAAAAUUGGGAAGAAUAUGGGAAAAUUGGUGGUUCUUGCGAUAGUGAUGCAAACCAGACCCAAGAUGAAGAUGGCAAGCACAAUAAGAUGAAACUCAUAAAGAAGAUGCAAAUCAAUCCAGAGAUUAUGUUGCAGCGGCGAAAUCUAAUGGUUGGUGAAACAAGUCGUGGGAGAAAAGAUAAUUAUCGAAAUGUUAACGCAUUAUGCUUGCCAAGUGACCCUCAGCAAACAAGCCAAUUGAGGAUUAUGUGGAUGAUCCAUUGAAGACCACAAAAUCUACAAUGAAAAGAAUUAAGACUAUGUUUGAUUCAAGUAUGCAUGGAGGACUCUUUGAAUAGAUGCUUUUGGCAUUGUUAUAGAAAAGGAACUAUAAUGUAAAACUUAGUCUUCAAUGGGAUUGUUGUCAUGAUAAUGUUUUUUUGCAGCAUCAUUUAGAGAAGGAAUGUUAUAUUGUUGCCAUUUGUCUUUCUUUUUGUAUAUAUUACGUUAUGUAUGGGUUGGGACAACCCAAUUGUCCCUAUUCAAUAUUUUUUUUUGUGCUGAUUAAAAAAAAAUUUACUUA